rnacentral:rRNA from 1 species
UCUACGGGCGGCAGCAGUGAGGAAUAUUGGUCAAUGGUCGGAAGACUGAACCAGCCAAGUAGCGUGAAGGAUGAAGGUUCUAUGGAUUGUAAACUUCUUUUAUACGGGAAUAAGACCUCCCACGUGUGGGAAUUUGUAUGUACCGUAUGAAUAAGCAUCGGCUAACUCCGUGCCAGCAGCCGCGGUAAUA